rnacentral:snRNA from 1 species
AGCUUUGCGCAGUGGCAGUAUCGUAGCCAAUGAGGUUUAUCCGAGGCGCGAUUAUUGCUAAUUGAGAACUGCGUUGAGCAGAGAAGGGAAAGCCCUCUCUCUGCUGUAUGGAAACUGAUUUCUG